CUCACCUCCAGGGCCACCGUUCGUUGAUAUUGACUGCCCAUCUGAACGAAAGGCAAUCAUGAGGUCACGAUCGUCCCUUUUAAAAGAGGAUAGAGGCAACAAGCACAUAGUUCGUGCUGCAUAUGGAUCCAACAGGAGACCGAUCCUGACUGCAGCACAGGCGCCAUCGCUCAUGAUAUAUACUUUUCUUCGA